AUUGAACGCUGGCGGUAUGCUUAACACAUGCAAGUCGAACGGCAGCAUAAGAGAGCUUGCUCUCUUGAUGGCGAGUGGCGGACGGGUGAGUAAUACGUAGGAAUCUAUCCAUGUAGCUGGGGAUAACUUGGGGAAACUCAAGCUAAUACCGAAUACGCUCUACGGAGGAAAGAGGGGGACUCUUCGGAACCUCUCACUAUUGGGUGAGCCUACGCCGGAUUAGCUUGUUGGUGGGGUAAUGGCCUACCCAGGCGACGAUCCGUAGCUGGUCUGAGAGGACGAUCAGCCACACUGGGACUGAGACACGGCCCAG
rnacentral:rRNA from 1 species